rnacentral:rRNA from 1 species
GAUGAACGCUGGCGGCGUGCCUAAUACAUGCAAGUCGAGCGAACGGACGAGAAGCUUGCUUCUCUGAUGUUAGCGGCGGACGGGUGAGUAACACGUGGAUAACCUACCUAUAAGACUGGGAUAACUUCGGGAAACCGUAGCUAAUACCGGAUAAUAUUUUGAACCGCAUGGUUCAAAAGUGAAAGACGGUCUUGCUGUCACUUAUAGAUGGAUCCGCGCUGCAUUAGCUAGUUGGUAAGGUAACGGCUUACCAAGGCAACGAUGCAUAGCCGACCUGAGAGGGUGAUCGGCCACACUGGAACUGAGACACGGUCCAGACUCCUACGGGAGGCAGCAGUAGGGAAUCUUCCGCAAUGGGCGAAAGCCUGACGGAGCAACGCCGCGUGAGUGAUGAAGGUCUUCGGAUCGUAAAACUCUGUUAUUAGGGAAGAACAUAUGUGUAAGUAACUGUGCACAUCUUGACGGUACCUAAUCAGAAAGCCACGGCUAACUACGUGCCAGCAGCCGCGGUAAUACGUAGGUGGCAAGCGUUAUCCGGAAUUAUUGGGCGUAAAGCGCGCGUAGGCGGUUUUUUAAGUCUGAUGUGAAAGCCCACGGCUCAUCCGUGGAGGGUCAUUGGAAACUGGAAAACUUGAGUGCAGAAGAGGAAAGUGGAAUUCCAUGUGUAGCGGUGAAAUGCGCAGAGAUAUGGAGGAACACCAGUGGCGAAGGCGACUUUCUGGUCUGUAACUGACGCUGAUGUGCGAAAGCGUGGGGAUCAAACAGGAUUAGAUACCCUGGUAGUCCACGCCGUAAACGAUGAGUGCUAAGUGUUAGGGGGUUUCCGCCCCUUAGUGCUGCAGCUAACGCAUUAAGCACUCCGCCUGGGGAGUACGACCGCAAGGUUGAAACUCAAAGGAAUUGACGGGGACCCGCACAAGCGGUGGAGCAUGUGGUUUAAUUCGAAGCAACGCGAAGAACCUUACCAAAUCUUGACAUCCUUUGACAACUCUAGAGAUAGAGCCUUCCCCUUCGGGGGACAAAGUGACAGGUGGUGCAUGGUUGUCGUCAGCUCGUGUCGUGAGAUGUUGGGUUAAGUCCCGUAGCGAGCGCAACCCUUAAGCUUAGUUGCCAUCAUUAAGUUGGGCACUCUAAGUUGACUGCCGGUGACAAACCGGAGGAAGGUGGGGAUGACGUCAAAUCAUCAUGCCCCUUAUGAUUUGGGCUACACACGUGCUACAAUGGACAAUACAAAGGGCAGCGAAACCGCGAGGUCAAGCAAAUCCCAUAAAGUUGUUCUCAGUUCGGAUUGUAGUCUGCAACUCGACUACAUGAAGCUGGAAUCGCUAGUAAUCGUAGAUCAGCAUGCUACGGUGAAUACGUUCCCGGGUCU